GAAUCACUUACAGCCGGAGUGCAGAAUCACUCCAAGAAUUACUUUCUGGGAUAAUAUGCCUUGGUGUUGCACACUCACAGCAUUUCAUUUGUGUUUUCACGAUGAAUUUUACAAGGAGUUCACAGCUGCAGUGAGAGGGGUCGAUGUGAGCAGAUCGGAAACUUAUCAUGAGAUUCCACUGUACUUGCUGGAAGGUGGGAAGAGGAGAUGCACACUACACACAGACAGAGCUCAUACGUUAAUUGCAUGGAAAGUAAUUCAAUGAGAUUGUGGACAACAUCCUGAGAGGAGGAAUCAGUUACCUGGGAAUUAACCAGUCACAGUGAGCUACCAUUCUAUCUGAAUGGACAACACGUUUGGAUCUUUUUAUACUCAUGUUUACGAAGAUUAUUUGGAAUCAUCAACCCAAUGACAAGUGACCAUGUAUGGUGUGGCAUUCACCAUUGUUCACUGGGAUGGUUACCAUAUCGCCUAUAGUAAAUGCCAUUUUCAAUAGGAUGGCCUUCUUAUUUCUUUAAUAUUUUUGGAAAAUUGUGCCAAGACUACUAAGCAAAAAUGCAAAGGCCACCUGUGAACAACCAGUAUUACAUCUGAUGGAACGUUGGAUAAGUUAUAUUGAAUCUCCUGCAGUUGCAAACAAUUUUGAAAUAUUAUUUGAUUCCAAUGUGAUUUGUCUCGAACAUGAAAAUGGUUUGGAAGCAGGCUAUGUGCAGAUGAAGCUUCUCGCCAACUGUAUACAUGAAAUCUCAUUGACACAUUCAAUUAUUAAGAGACUG